rnacentral:rRNA from 1 species
GACGAACGCUGGCGGCGUGCCUAAUACAUGCAAGUCGAGCGCAGGAAACCAGAUGACCCCUUCGGGGUGAUUCUGGCGGAAUGAGCGGCGGACGGGUGAGUAACACGUGGGCAACCUGCCUGUAAGACUGGGAUAACUUCGGGAACCCGGAGCUAAUACCGGAUAGUAUUUCCUUUCUCCUGAUUGGAAAUGGAAAGACGGUUUCGGCUGUCACUUACAGAUGGGUCCGCGGUGCAUUAGCGAGUUGGGGGGGUAAUGGCCCACCAAGGCGACGAUGCAUAGCCGACCUGAGAGGGUGAUCGGCCACACUGGGACUGAGACACGGCCCAGACUCCUACGGGAGGCAGCAGUAGGGAAUCUUCCGCAAUGGACGAAAGUCUGACGGAGCAACGCCGCGUGAGCGAUGAAGGCCUUCGGGUCGUAAAGCUCUGUUGUUAGGGAAGAACAAGUACGAGAGUAACUGCUCGUACCUUGACGGUACCUAACCAGAAAGCCCCGGCUAACUACGUGCAGCAGCCGCCGUAAAAC